rnacentral:lncRNA from 1 species
GAAUUUAUCUUAAUGGUUCAUUCUUAAACCUUUGAUUUGUUGUCCUUUUCCAUUUUUUGUGUUGGCUUGAAAUGCUUUGAAUUUCUUCAAUGUCAUAAUUUUAGAUUUUAAGAAGUAGAUCCAUGUUAUUGUGAUGUACUUAAUUUAACUACAUCAAAGAUAUUUAGAAGUUAAUUAAUUUUAUUUAUGAGAAGGAGGGGGCAAAAAUAUAAUACUUAUAUAUUUAUAAAUUUGAAUAGAAUUUAGAAUAUGAAAUUGUUGUCUUGAAUAGAUUAUUUAAGCUUGGGGAUAUUAUCUUUUAGGAUAGAUACUUGGCUCUAUAGUGGUUUAAGAUGGAUAUUGAUAUAAUGUUAGAGAUAGGAAUUUUUGGCAUUAAAGAUUUUAAUUUUGGAAGGAAAGAGGGGAAGGAGGGGAGAGGAGAAGGUUGGAGGUCAAAAGGAGGAAAAAAGGUGGUCUCUAGAAAUUUUGGAGAUGGACAAGAUUCAAGCUUGGUUUAAGAUUUUGAAGGUUAUUUAUGGAAUUUUUAUCUUUUUAUUUUGAAAUUUUGUGAAAAGCUGAAUCUCAUUGUUAGUUUUUCAAAAAGCCAUUUUUUACAAGAAAUGGAGCUACAAAGAGGAAGAUCUAAGAAAAUUUGUGUAAAAGAGAUUGCCAAAGUUUUUAAGUGGUGAGAUUUAAGACCAAUUAGAAAUUUCUAUACUAUUUUUUAUAUUUUUGUUUUCUAAUUUUAAAAUUUUAUUGAAAGCUAGAUAAAAUUGUUAAUUUUCUAAUAAGCUAUUUUAUGCAAGAAGCUGUGAUGAAGGAGAUCCAAGUUAAUUUUUAGAUGGAGGUUUUGAAGGUAGUGUUUGCAACAAGCAGCAAAUUUUUUUCUCUUUGGUUUUACUCUUAUUUUUUAAAAAUUUUGUUUAUGGACUUUAAUAAUUUAAAGUUUAUUGCUUGAGUUUAGCUCAACAAACUAAAUUUUAUUUAGAUUGAAUUAGUAAUAAGUAAUUUAUAGAUAUUUUAAUAAGAUGAGG